rnacentral:misc_RNA from 1 species
AAUUUCUGGUUCAAGCCUAAACCACGAGAUCCCUGAUCUUAUUGUGGGCUAUAAAAUCAUAAAACUAAAUUUCCCCUUCGCAAGCAAAAGCCAAUCGACUUCUCAAACAGAUAGAAAAUGGCGUCAAUUUUGGGGAAAUUUUUGUUUCCAAGUCCUACGAAUUUGCUGAUUUCAGCGAUGUCUGUUGUGAGCGUAGUGUCAUUAGCGAGUACUGGAUUCAAAGAGAUUAGAGGAAAGCACCUUCACUAUUCAAAAUUCUGGAAUGUUAACGACUCUGUUUCUAACAAAAUCAAACUUUCCAGUAGAAAUGGGAUGUUCUUGCUUUAUACUCCUGCUUUUCUUGCUGGUUUUUCCUCCUUUUGGCUUUUCCCCGAUGAAGGUCUUAGGUUUUUCUAUGUCAAAUCUGCUCUUACCAUUCAUUUCUUCAAGAGAAUAUUUGAGGUACUCUUUCUCUUUCUCUUUCUCACACGCAACAAUACCUAGCAAGAAAGCUAAGAUUUGUUAGAAUUGGUGUGUAAUUGAAGGAAGUUACCAAUUUGGGUUAUUGACAAUUUUGAUUUUAGGUUUAGGGAUUGGCAUUCUUUUGUUAUUUAUCGAUUUAGAAUUUUACUUUUUCAAUUAAAUUUUGCAAUUAUCUAUAAGAAUUCUAAAAACCCAUUUAUGGAAAACGCAACUUUUAUUUAGAAAAAGCAAAAAUUAAAUAACCAUUACCAUGAUUUUGAUUGUUGUUUUGUGGGAUUUUUUUUUUUUGGUCAAUGUUGUUUUAUGGGAUUGGACAAAUUAACAAGCUCUCCCAUGAAAGAUGUCACAGAAUAGGAGAAGAAUUUAUUUUUCUCAUAUCCCAAUUUAUGGUUUUAUAGAAUAGACAACACUGAAUUCAAGCAGCUAUCCAAAUCAAUGAUUUUAAUUUUUUUUUCCAAGAAUAAAUCAUAAUUACUCAGAAACAUUAAUUUUCUUAUAAUGUUAUUAUGCAGGUGCUAUUCAUUCACAAAUAUAGUGCUUCUAUGAUUCUUGAUAGCGCAAUUCCUGUUACUCUUAGUUAUUUCAUAUCUACUGUAACAAUGAUCUAUGCUCAGCACCUAACACAAGGAUAUCCUGAACCACCAAUUGAAUUGACUUAUCCUGGGAUUGUGCUCUUUCUUAUAGGAAUCAUUGGUAACUUCUAUCACCAUUACCUCCUUUCCAAGCUGAGAAGCAAGAAUGAUAAGGAAUAUAAGAUUCCUAGGGGUGGUUUAUUUGAUCUAGUGACAUGUCCUCACUAUUUGUUUGAGAUUUUAGGUUUCUGGGGAGUUUCUUUCAUUUCACAAACUUUGUAUUCCUUUUCUUUUGCUUUUGGAACCACAAUAUACUUGUUGGGAAGGAGUUAUGCCACUAGGAGAUGGUACCUUUCCAAGUUUGAAGAUUUUCCCAAGAAUGUAAAAGCCCUCGUUCCAUUUGUUUUCUGAUGCUCAGGUGGAUUUGAAGGGUGCAGAUCCAAUUUGUUUUACCUUAAUGUUGUUGGUAUAGGUACAUUACAGCCAG